CUCGAUGGGGGAAGGGGAGGAAUGGUAUUCCAGGCAGAGGGAGUGGUGUGGAAACAGCACUGCAGCGUGGAGUAGCAUAAUGUACUCAGGAACCUGCAUGUUGCUGAACAGGAAUGAGGGCCAGUGGCGGGGAGCAUAGCAGGAAAUGAGGCAAAGGCAUGGUGAGGAGACAAGCCGUGAAGGACAUUCUGUGUUAAACUAGAAGUUUGAUCUUUAUUCUGAAGAAUAUGGGAGCUCAUUCAAGGAGUUUAAAAGCAGAAAAUACAGAUUACAGGAUGGAAACUGCUUCAACUUCCCAUUGUCAGACCCACAAAACCACCCCUGCAUCAGUUCCUUUUUUUUACUUCCUUCCUAUUGCUAUAAAGGAAAUGUCCUUCUUCUUGUUGAAGACCAGCCUCUAAAUGAGCUCUGGAUCCGAUUCCCUACCAGGAGCUGCAACAGAGGAGACAAAGGAAAAGGGAGCAAGGUGGAGAAUGAGCCAGCCCUUAAACUGUGAAAAAACCAAGGGGAACUUUAGCAGAAUUGGCUUCAAAGACUGGGACCCAAGGAUAUCAUCACUGAAAGGAGACGUCAGUAGAAGGUCCACUGGCCGUGCAUAAUGGUGAUGGAUGUUCUGGAGUCAGAUUGGCAGGGUCUGAAUCCCAGGUCCCCCACUUUCUCACAGAGCCCCAUUGGGUCACAAAAUAACAGAAAAACACUUAGCACCUUACAAAUACUGCUCUCUCACGGUAGACCAAUGAGUUAGGCACUCUUAUAUGCACAUUACAGAGAUGAGAACAAGUUUCAUGACCUCUAGAAACCUCAUGAUGGUAUGAUAAUGAUAGUUCUCCUUAUUGGGAUUAUGGUGGGUUUUCACCAAAAUAAUCCAGGCAAAUGAUCAGCACAGUCUGUGGCUCAAUGGAUGUGUUCAAUAAAUGUUAGUCUGGAGGGCUAGGUGAGAGGAAAAACGUUAGCUUCCAGAAAUCAGGGUUUUGAUAAGAAGGAGUAAUGGUCUGCAAGCAACACUGAGAAACAAAGAGGACAAUGACCCAACUUCUAGUCUUGAAGAACAUGGAGCAUAAAGCAAAGAAACCAGCAAAAUACUACAUCAAAGUUAGAAAAUUCUCUGUGAGUAAUGUAUAGUAAUAUACAAAAUUGUUCAAUCAAUAUGUUGUACACCUGAAACUAAUAUAAUGACAAAACCAA